rnacentral:rRNA from 1 species
CCUACGGGGGGCAGCAGUGGGGAAUAUUGGACAAUGGGGGCAACCCUGAUCCAGCCAUGCCGCGUGUGUGAAGAAGGCCCUCGGGUUGUAAAGCACUUUCAGUGAGGAAGAACGCCUGGUGGUUAAUACCCAUCAGGAAAGACAUCACUCACAGAAGAAGCACCGGCUAACUCCGUGCCAGCAGCCGCGGUAAUACGGAGGGUGCGAGCGUUAAUCGGAAUUACUGGGCUUAAAGCGCGCGUAGGUGGCUUGAUAAGCCGGUUGUGAAAGCCCCGGGCUCAACCUGGGAACGGCAUCCGGAACUGUCAAGCUAGAGUGCAGGAGAGGAAGGUAGAAUUCCCGGUGUAGCGGUGAAAUGCGUAGAGAUCGGGAGGAAUACCAGUGGCGAAGGCGGCCUUCUGGACUGACACUGACACUGAGGUGCGAAAGCGUGGGUAGCAAACAGGAUUAGAUACCCCUGUAGUC